GACAGAGGGUGCAAACGUUGUUCGGAAUUACUGGGCGUAAAGCGCAUGUAGGCGGCCAAGCAGGUCGGAUGUGAAAUCCCUCGGCUCAACCAAGGAAGUGCAUUCGAAACCGCAUGGCUGGAGUCCCGGAGAGGGUAGUGGAAUUCUCGGUGUAGAGGUGAAAUUCGUAGAUAUCGAGAGGAACACCGGCGGCGAAAGCGGCUACCUGGACGAGGACUGACGCUGAGAUGCGAAAGCGUGGGUAGCAAACAGG
rnacentral:rRNA from 1 species